CCUACGGGAGGCAGCAGUGGGGAAUAUUGCACAAUGGGGGAAACCCUGAUGCAGCGACGCCGCGUGAGUGAAGAAGUAUUUCGGUAUGUAAAGCUCUAUCAGAAGGGAAGAAAAUGACGGUACCUGAUUAAGAAGCCCCGGCUAACUACGUGCCAGCAGCCGCGGUAAUACGUAGGGGGCAAGCGUUAUCCGGAUUUACUGGGUGGAAAGGGAGCGUAGACGGCAGCAGAAGGCUGGAGUGAAAUGCCGGGGCUUAACCCCGGAACUGCUUGGGAAACUGGGCAGCUAGAGUGCAGGAGAGGUGAGUGGAAUUCCUAGUGUAGCGGUGAAAUGCGUAGAUAUUAGGAGGAACACCAGUGGCGAAAGCGGCUUACUGGACUGUAACUGACGUUGAGGCUCGAAAGCGUGGGGAGCAAACAGGAUUAGAUACCCGGGUAGUC
rnacentral:rRNA from 1 species